rnacentral:rRNA from 1 species
UACAGAGGGGGCAAGCGUUGUUCGGGAUUACUGGGCGUAAAGGGCGCGUAGGCGGCCUUCUAAGUCGAACGUGAAAUCCCUGGGCUCAACCCAGGAACUGCGUCCGAUACUGGAAGGCUUGAAUCCGGGAGAGGGAUGUGGAAUUCCAGGUGUAGCGGUGAAAUGCGUAGAUAUCUGGAGGAACACCGGUGGCGAAGGCGACAUCCUGGACCGGUAUUGACGCUGAGGCGCGAAAGCCAGGGGAGCAAACGGG